UAAUCAUUUGUCUUUUAAAUAAAGACCAGUAUGAAUGGCAUAACGAGGGUUUAACUGUCUCCUCCUCCCAGUCAAUGAAAUUGAUCUGCCCGUGCAGAAGCGGACAUAAAAACAUAAGACGAGAAGACCCUAUGGAGCUUUAGGCAAAAGUCACACAUGUACAGAAACCCGAAACUAACAAAUAAAAGGACUAACCCAAACCCAAUGUAAAAUGACUUUAAUGCCUUCGGUUGGGGCGACCAUGGAGGAAAAAAAAGCCUCCACAUGGAAUGGGGACAACCCCCUAAACCAAGAGAGACAACUCUAAGCAACAGAACAUCUGACCAAAAAUGACCCAGGGCCAAGCCCUGAUCAAUGAACCAAGUUACCCUAGGGAUAACAGCGCAAUCCUUUCCCAGAGUCCA
rnacentral:rRNA from 1 species